UACGUAGGGUGCAAGCGUUAUCCGGAAUCACUGGGCGUAAAGCGUGCGUAGGUGGAUGUUUAAGUGUGAUGUUAAAUCGUGGGGCUCAACCCUGUCGAUGCAUCGCAUACUGGACGUCUAGAGGACAGCAGAGGCAAGUGGAAUUGGUAGUGUAGCAGUGAAAUGCGUAGAUAUUACCAGGAACACCAAUGGCGAAGGCAGCUUGCUGGGCUACUCCUGACACUGAGGUACGAAAGCGUGGGGAGCGAACAGG
rnacentral:rRNA from 1 species